AGACUCUUACGGGAGGCACCAGUGGGGAAUUUUGUGCAAUGGGGGAAACCCUGACGCAGCAACGCCGCGUGGAGGAUGAAGUAUCUUGGUACGUAAACUCCUUUCGAUGGGGAAGAUAAUGACGGUACCCAUAGAAGAAGCCCCGGCUAACUUCGUGCCAGCAGCCGCGGUAAUACGUAGGGUGCGAGCGUUGUCCGGAAUUAUUGGGCGUAAAGAGCUCGUAGGCGGCCUGUCGCGUCGGAUGUGAAAGCCCGGGGCUUAACCCCGGGUCUGCAUUCGAUACGGGCAGGCUAGAGUGUGGUAGGGGAGAUCGGAAUUCCUGGUGUAGCGGUGAAAUGCGCAGAUAUCAGGAGGAACACCGGUGGCGAAGGCGGAUCUCUGGGCCAUUACUGACGCUGAGGAGCGAAAGCGUGGGGAGCGAACAGGAUUAGAUACCCUGGUAGUCCACGCCGUAAACGUUGGGAACUAGGUGUUGGCGACAUUCCACGUCGUCGGUGCCGCAGCUAACGCAUUAAGUUCCCCGCCUGGGGAGUACGGCCGCAAGGCUAAAACUCAAAGGAAUUGACG
rnacentral:rRNA from 1 species